rnacentral:rRNA from 1 species
UACGUAGGUGGCAAGCGUUGUCCGGAUUUAUUGGGUUUAAAGGGUGCGUAGGCGGUCUUAUAAGUCAGUGGUGAAAUACGGCAGCUCAACUGUCGAGGUGCCAUUGAUACUGUAGGACUUGAGUACAGACGAGGUAGGCGGAAUUGACGGUGCAGCGGUGAAAUGCUUAGAUAUCGUCAAGAACACCGAUAGCGAAGGCAGCUUACUAGGCUGUAACUGACGCUGAGGCACGAAAGUGUGGGGAUCAAACAGG